UACGUAGGGGGCAAGCGUUGUCCGGAUUUAUUGGGCGUAAAGAGCGUGUAGGCGGCCAGAUAGGUCGGUUGUGAAAACUGGAGGCUCAACCUCCAGACGUCGACCGAAACCAUCUGGCUAGAGUCCAGAAGAGGAGAGUGGAAUUCCUGGUGUAGCGGUGAAAUGCGCAGAUAUCAGGAGGAACACCGGUGGCGAAGGCGGAUCUCUGGGCCAUUACUGACGCUGAGGAGCGAAAGCGUGGGGAGCGAACAGG
rnacentral:rRNA from 1 species